AGUGAACGCUGGCGGUAGGCCUAACACAUGCAAGUCGAACGGCAGCACAGUAAGAGCUUGCUCUUACGGGUGGCGAGUGGCGGACGGGUGAGGAAUACAUCGGAAUCUACUUUUUCGUGGGGGAUAACGUAGGGAAACUUACGCUAAUACCGCAUACGACCUACGGGUGAAAGCAGGGGAUCUUCGGACCUUGCGCGAUUGAAUGAGCCGAUGUCGGAUUAGCUAGUUGGCGGGGUAAAGGCCCACCAAGGCGACGAUCCGUAGCUGGUCUGAGAGGAUGAUCAGCCACACUGGAACUGAGACACGGUCCAGACUCCUACGGGAGGCAGCAGUGGGGAAUAUUGGACAAUGGGCGCAAGCCUGAUCCAGCCAUACCGCGUGGGUGAAGAAGGCCUUCGGGUUGUAAAGCCCUUUUGUUGGGAAAGAAAUCCAGCCGGCUAAUACCUGGUUGGGAUGACGGUACCCAAAGAAUAAGCGCCGGCUAACUUCGUG
rnacentral:rRNA from 1 species